rnacentral:rRNA from 1 species
GGAGGACCGAACCGACUAAUGUUGAAAAAUUAGCGGAUGACUUGUGGCUAGGGGUGAAAGGCCAAUCAAACCUGGAGAUAGCUGGUUCUCCCCGAAAGCUAUUUAGGUAGCGCCUCGGACGAAUACUACUGGGGGUAGAGCACUGUUAAGGCUAGGGGGUCAUCCCGACUUACCAACCCUUUGCAAACUCCGAAUACCAGUAAGUACUAUCCGGGAGACACACGGCGGGUGCUAACGUCCGUCG